AUUGAACGCUGGCGGCAGGCUUAACACAUGCAAGUCGAGCGGGGGCUUCGGUCCUAGCGGCGAACGGGUGAGGAAUGCCUGGGAAUCUGCCUGGUAGUGGGGGAUAACGAUUCGAAAGGGUCGCUAAUACCGCAUACGUCCUACGGGAGAAAGCAGGGGACCUUCGGGCCUUGCGCUAUCAGAUGAGCCCAGGUCGGAUUAGCUAGUAGGUGAGGUAAAGGCUCACCUAGGCGACGAUCCGUAGCUGGUCUGAGGAGGAUGAUCAGCCACACUGGAACUGAGACACGGUCCAGACUCCUACGGGAGGCAGCAGUGGGGAAUAUUGGACAAUGGGCGAAAGCCUGAUCCAGCCAUGCCGCGUGUGUGAAGAAGGCCUUCGGUUGGUUAAAGC
rnacentral:rRNA from 1 species